UUUCCCCUCCCUUUUUUAUUGAAGGUGAGAGGUACUGAAUUGUCAACUGUGUUUCACGAUGGAGUGCCUUCCAUGAAGGACCUCAGUGCACCUUGCAAAUGUCAUGAGUCAUCAGAGCCCUUCUAUAAUGGAGGGAAGUAUCUGUGGUCACAAUUUUAUGGUUAAAGCAGCACAGGGAAGUAGAGAUCAGAAACAGAAAUGGACUUGUCACAAGAAAACUUAUGUUUACACACCAUAAAGAACUUCUUGAUUAAACUCUAGAACUUACGAGGGAGGAAAAUUGUCGGUCUUUGCUUCAGGAAAUC